rnacentral:tRNA from 1 species
GCUCCGGUGGCGGAACUGGCAGACGCGACGGAUUCAAGUCCCGUUGCCUUCGGGCGUGAGGGUUCGAGUCCCUCCCGGAGCA